GCACGAAGGUCUGGCGCCGGCGCUCGGCGCAUGCGGGGCCGCCGCACGGGCAGAAGAGCAGCGCGUGGGAGCACCCUUACUUCAUCUUCAUCCUCAAAACAGCACAUCUCAGCUCCAAGAUCUCCUCUGCCUUAAACGUUUGCCAGAUUCCUUUCUCCUCAACCUACACCACCUGCUUUUCCUAGAAUCACCUUCUUGCCCUUCCACCUCGUGCUUGAGGAGGGAAGAGGAUCAGGGACAGAGAAGCCGAGGUUCAGAGGUCUG